rnacentral:lncRNA from 1 species
UUGAGAGAUAGGUAGCACGCUACCCGCUUCGUUUAUUUCAUUUAGAAAUAAACUUAGCUGGAAAUGUGAAUCAACUAGGAUUCGAACUUGGGUCUCGGGUACCAACCACCAAGCCCUUUGCCACUUGCUCUAGGGACGGUCGGCGAUAGAAAAUUCUAUUCACUACAUAGAUAAAGAUUAAUAACUCCGAUCUUAAAUUGAAAGAUCCGAUCAUCCAUUUUUAAGACGUCGUUCGAUUUUGACUGUUCAUUUUAUACCCGCUUGAUGAACUUUAUUAUGAUUUCAAAAAAUUACGAAUUUUAUUUUCUACAGGUUUCAAAUACUCUAGAUCAUAUUUAACGGAGUGGAUCAUCCAUUCGGAAGAUUUAUUAUUGAAAAACAACUUAUGAGUAUGAAGGGCUCUAUACUCAUAAAAAUAUAGUAGCCCUAGCCUAUAUGUAUAUAUAUAUAUAAUUGAGCUCCUAUAGUUUUAAAAGUAUCAUGUCAUUGAUGCUUUGGUUGGUUGAAUAGUAUAAUUUAACAUAUGAAAAUGGUCAAAAGGUAAAUCUAGCGGCGAAAAACUUACACACACCAAGUCCUUCGUGCUUUUAGAAGCAUCAUCAUAAUUGCACAUCUCUUAGUCCAAGGGCUAAAACCGACAAGUACUAAUAACUUAAUAUUUUUAAAAAGUAUAGGAGCUCAAUUCUAUAUAAAGUUAUGUUAUGCUACUUUUAAAAGUAUCAAGUACUUAGGUGCUUAUAAGUUUUUGCUGUUAUAUCUAUUUCUUGAACUAUUUCUGCCCAUUAGAUUUAUUUCUUUAACUAUUUCUACAUGUUAGAUCAAUUUCUUUAAUUAUUUUUUUAACUAAUUUUAAAAA